GGAGAGGAAGCACAAAGGCUUUCAAAUCCAUUCUUGCUCGCCGCUGCACAUCAAAAAGGCAAUUCUUUCGCAUUAUUAUCGAGUCCAGUGAAGAAAAAGGAAGGAAAUAUUAUAAGUACGCGUGAAGUCCCAGCCAUGGGUGAAAAUGGCCAACUAGGGUCUUGGUACGCCCCUAGCCUGCCUCUUUCUCUUUUAUUAUCAUUAUUUUACCAUUUCAAUUUGUUGUACUUGCACUUGUGAUACUUGUAAAAAAUUCAUAUUAUUAUUGGAAUCUUUGGUUUGAACUA